rnacentral:rRNA from 1 species
AGCGAACGCUGGCGGCAGGCCUAACACAUGCAAGUCGAGCGGCCGUAGCAAUACGGCAGCGGCAGACGGGAGAGUAACACGUGGGAACGCGCCCUUCGGUUCGGAAUAACCCAGGGAAACUUGGGCUAAUACCGGAUACGCCCUUACGGGGAAAGAUUUAUUGCCGAAAGAACGGCCCGCGUCCGAUUAGCUUGUUGGUGAGGUAACGGCUCACCAAGGCGACGAUCGGUAGCUGGUCUGAGAGGAUGACCAGCCUCACUGGGACUGAGACACGGCCCAGACUCCUACGGGAGGCAGCAGUGGGGAAUAUUGGACAAUGGGCGCAAGCCUGAUCCAGCCAUGCCGCGUGGGUGAUGAAGGCCCUAGGGUUGUAAAGCCCUUUCGGCGGGGAAGAUAAUGACGGUACCCGCAGAAGAAGCCCCGGCUAACUUCGUGCCAGCCGCCGCCGUAAGAC